rfam:Soboliphyme baturini genome assembly, scaffold: SBAD_scaffold0005271
CCAACGGCCCUUUUCAGGGCCACCAUGUAAUUGAGCACUUGGUUUU